rnacentral:rRNA from 1 species
AGUGAACGCUGGCGGUAGGCCUAACACAAGCAAGUCGAACGGCAGCACAGGAGAGCUUGCUCUCUGGGUGGCGAGUGGCGGACGGGUGAGGAAUACAUCGGAAUCUACUCUGUCGUGGGGGAUAACGUAGGGAAACUUACGCUAAUACCGCAUACGACCUACGGGUGAAAGCAGGGGACCUUCGGGCCUUGCGCGAUUGAAUGAGCCGAUGUCGGAUUAGCUAGUUGGCGGGGUAAAGGCCCAUCAAGGCGACGAUCCGUAGCUGGUCUGAGAGGGUGAUCAGCCACACUGGAACUGAGACACGGUCCAGACUCCUACGGGAGGCAGCAGUGGGGAAUAUUGGACAAUGGGCGCAAGCCUGAUCCAGCCAUACCGCGUGGGUGAAGAAGGCCUUCGGGUUGUAAAGCCCUUUUGUUGGGAAAGAAAUCCAGCUGGCUAAUACCCGGUUGGGAUGACGGUACCCAAAGAAUAAGCACCGGCUAACUUCGUGCCAGCCGCCGCGGUAA